rnacentral:rRNA from 1 species
AUUGAACGCUGGCGGCAUGCCUUACACAUGCAAGUCGAACGGCAGCGCGGGAGCAAUCCUGGCGGCGAGUGGCGAACGGGUGAGUAAUAUAUCGGAACGUGCCCUAGAGUGGGGGAUAACUAGUCGAAAGAUUAGCUAAUACCGCAUACGAUCUACGGAUGAAAGUGGGGGAUCGCAAGACCUCAUGCUCGUGGAGCGGCCGAUAUCUGAUUAGCUAGUUGGUAGGGUAAAAGCCUACCAAGGCCACGAUCAGUAGCUGGUCUGAGAGGACGACCAGCCACACUAGGACGGAGACACGGCCCAGACUCCUACGUGAGGCAGUAGUGGGGAAUUUUGUACAAUGGGGGAAACCCUGAUCCAGCAAUGCCGCGUGUGUGAAGAAGGCCUUCGGGUUGUAAAGCACUUUUGUCCGGAACGAAACGGGCCGAGCUAAUAUCUUGGCCUAAUGACGGUACCGGAAGAAUAAGCACCGGCUAACUACGUGCCAGCCGCCGCGGUAA